rnacentral:tRNA from 1 species
AGCUCAGUUGUUAGUAAGCGUAGCGUGUCGAAGACGUAGCUGACUCAUAAUCAGUUGGUCCCUGGUUCGAGCCCAGGCGGGACCA